AUGGAAAAUCGGGGAAAUCGGGGAAUGGGAUCCAGGGAUGGGAUCUGGGAUGGGAUCCAGGGAUGGGAUCAGGCAUGGGAUUCAGGGAUUGGAUCCGGGAUUCAGGGAUUGGAUCCAGGAUCCAGGGAUGGGAUCAGGGAUGGGAUCCAGGGAUGGGAUCAGGGAUGUGAUCCAGGGAUGGGAUCCAGGGAUGGGAUCAGGCAUGAGAUUCAGGGAUGGGACCCGGGAUGGGAUCCAGGGAUGGGAUCCACGAUGGGAUCAGGGAUGGGAUCAAGGGAUGUGAUCCAGGGAUGUGAUCAGGGAGGGGAUCCAGGACAUGAUCCAGGUGUGGGAAGUCACCUCAGGAACCCUCCAGUCCCUCAGGAUUUGGGAAAGGCUCAUCCAAGGGAGAAGAGGCAGGAACUGAACAGGACCGGGCUGGGAAAGGGGGACAGUGCUCAGGAACGUUCCCAGGAAAUCCCAAAUUCCUCCUCAGCCUUCAGGGAAAACCUGGGAGUGCUGAUGGCAGGGACAGGCAGGGAACGUGUCUGGACAGGGACAGGGACAAGGACAGGGACAAGGACCCAGGGAAGGGCCAGGGACCCAGGGAUAGGGACAGGGACAGGGACAAGGACACAGGGAAGGGCCAGGGACCCAGGGAUAGGGACAGGGACAGGGACAAGGACACAGGGAAGGGCCAGGGACCCAGGGAUAGGGACAGGGACAGGGACAAGGACACACGGAAGGGCCAGGGACCCAGGGAUAGGGACAGGGACAGGGACAGGCAGGGAGUGUGUCCGGACAGGGACAGGGAUAGGGACAGGGACAGGGACAGGCAGGGAGUGUGUCCGGACAGGGACAGAGGGACAUGGGGACACAGGGAUAGGACAGGGACACAGGGACAGGGAUACAGGGAUAGGACAGGGACAUGGGGAUGGGACAGGGACACAGACACAGGGGCACGGGGACACAGGGACACGGGGACACAGGGACAGGGACACAGGGACAGGGAAGGACACAGGGACAGGGAUACAGGGACAGGGAAGGACACAGGGACAGGGACCCGGGGGAACAACACAGGGACAUGGGGACACAGGGACACGGGGACACAGGGACAGGGACACAGGGACAGGGAAGGACACAGGGACAGGGAUACAGGGACAGGGAAGGACACAGGGACAGGGAAGGACACAGGGACAGGGAUACAGGGACAGGGAAGGACACAGGGACAGGGAAGGACACAGGGACAGGGAUACAGGGACAGGGAAGGACACAGGGACAGGGAAGGACACAGGGACAGGGAUACAGGGACAGGGAAGGACACAGGGACAGGGAAGGACACAGGGACAGGGAUACAGGGACAGGGAAAGGACACGGGGAUAG
rnacentral:lncRNA from 1 species